rnacentral:rRNA from 1 species
UCGGGAAUUUUGGACAAUGGGCGCAAGCCUGAUCCAGCCAUGCCGCGUGGAUGAUGAAGGCCUUAGGGUUGUAAAAUCCUUUCGUUGGGGACGAUAAUGACGGUACCCGCAGAAUAAGCCCCGGCUAACUUCGUGCCAGCAGCCGCGGUAAUACGAAGGGGGCUAGCGUUGUUCGGAAUCACUGGGCGUAAAGCGCACGUAGGCGGAUGUGCCAGUCAGGGGUGAAAUCCCGGAGCUCAACUUCGGAACUGCCUCUGAUACAGCACGUCUUGAGUCCGAUAGAGGUGGGUGGAAUUCCUAGUGUAGAGGUGAAAUUCGUAGAUAUUAGGAAGAACACCAGUGGCGAAGGCGGCCAACUGGCUCGAUACUGACGCUGAGGUGCGAAAGCGUGGGGAGCAAACAGGAUUAGAUACCCAAGUAGUCCCUGAGCGGGCUGGCAAGGCGCAU